UUUUUUUUUCCCCCAAGCUCUAAAAUAGGCUCUUUCUUCAAGACGAAGUUUGCAUUGACGCAAGAAUACAACUAUUUUACCUGAUCAGUUUUCCAUUACAAGAUACGCACUGAUGAAAUUGUCAAAAAAAGAUGGUGAAGUGUGAGAAAAUACAAAGCUAUUUGCAGAAUCACAGAAUUUUAAAGGUUGGAAAGGACCUCUGAAGAUCAUCUAGAACAAGCCUUCUGCUAAUGAAAGUUUCUUAGAAUGGGUUGCAAUGGAAAACCUCCAGGAAUGGAGCAGAAUGAUGCAUUUGUUCUCAAGGGAUGUGUCCAUUUUCUAUGCAUGAAUGCACUAUCUAAAGCGUUGCCUAGCACGUGUCAAACACAUUUGUCUUAUCUGGUAAAAUAAUUAAAUCACAGAAACUUGUAUUAUAGAAAAAAUGAAUGCCUCUUUUUUUUUUUUUUUAUCAACUAGGUUAUUUUCUUGAAGGAAAAGGUUAUAAAAAUGAUAUAUAUAGAAGAAGCUUAUCACUAUCUUAUGUUUUCUAAAAUAGAGCUGAUUUUGAUUUUAUUUAGAGGAGAUGCCUAGCAAGCAUCAAACAUUUCAGAUUUUUACUGAAAACUAAAAGAUGUGCCCAAAGAUUCAUGAAUGUAUUAAUUAAAAUGAUGUCAGGAAACCUACAUAUUUGAAGGGCCAAACCAUAAGUAUACAAUGUUCAUUCCUAUGACAGUUUGAAAGUAUACUAGUUAGUUUCUGACAACAAUGGAAAUAUCACUGUACAUUUAUUAAUAAUAUUUUUCAUAGUCUGAAUUUCUCUGCUAAUUUAUUUUUGCUAGUGCUAGAAAAAUAUAUAUACAUAACUUAGCAAAUUUGCAGGUAGUAAGGAGAUUUGACUUUAAUGCAGCUUCAGGCAAUAGUUAUAUAUAAACAGUGCAUGAUGCAUUCAUAUUUUCAGCUGAAAAUCAGAUUGCUGACAUCAGUAGUUGUUGAAAUUGAAACUUUUGCAAGAAAAGAAAAAAACAAACUACAGUACAAUGGUGCAAAAGUACUGCACAGUGAGAUGGAGGAAAACAUGAAUUACUCAGUUUGAUGCCUGACACUGAAACUUCUGAAAAGGCAUCCACUGAUCACAAGGGGGUGCUGGAUCAGGCACUGAGGAAAAGAUUUUGGGUAAAAAGAGGAGCAAAAAUCAAGGUAGUUUGUAAGGAUGUGACAUCAGACCUUUCACUGCCUCCAGUGGUUUACUUGUAUGUGUCUUUCAGUAUGUGCAUGUGAUUGUGGGUUAUUUUUGAUUCAAUGUAAUUUUUUAAUCUUUAUUUAUUCAAUUAUUUAUUACACUUUUGAAGACAUGCACAGAAUUUUGCAUUUCAGAUGUAGUUUUCGGUACAUUUAUUGCAAAUACUGACUUCCUAUACAUUGUUUUUUCUUUGUCAAUUUAGAAUAACAUUAACUAGAUUUUCAGAUUCUUGUUCUAUUUGGUUGACUGAUGCUACCUGUUUGCCAGCGAACCUUAAAAAAAGUAAAAGCUCUGGAUUCUAAGCCCUUGUUGAGGAUGGCUGAUAUGUAGAAAGGGCUGUCAUUGCUGUAGGGGAUGCAGGCUAAUAAAUAACCUAAUUCUGGGAGCUGUGCAAAAUUUCUGUGUCCUCCGGCAUGUUUUAUGCAGUUAUUGAUGUAGAUGAUAGUUUUAUGUCUGCAUGGAGACAAGGGUUUAAUGUAGAUGAUUCUUUCCUUUAUUAAUCAGUUCAUGAUCUUACCUACUUGAGCAGGAAAAUGGUGUGAGAGGGUUUUUGGUGGGUUUGCAGAUGAGAGGCAGUGGAAGACUGGAAUAACACACACGAAAGGAAGCUGCUGAGCUGUUUCUACAUCUUGAUGUUUUUACAUGAAUUGAGUCCAAGAAAGCUUUGAUACCGUGCGAACUGAGAACGUGGAUUAUUUUCCAUAGAUUUAAGAACAUUGAAAUUCCCCACUUGAUGCACAGAAGAGGUGAUAAGUAGCUUGGACUAUAAUGAUGUAGGCUAUAUUUUUGCUAUGUCUUAUGUAGCAUGUGCUGUAUUCUGAUGGAAAAUGAAAAAAACACUGAACAUUUUUGAACCUACAAGUAAGAAUUUGAGAAAUACAGCUGCAAUUGUCUCAAGGUAGUUUAAAAGCAAACUGUGUAAAGAAAAGAAUCAAACCACCAAAUUAAUCAUCUCUUAAGUACUGAAAAAUGUUUACUGGAAAUGAAAAUAUUUUUAUGCAAUACAAUAUAAUUUAACUUUGAAAUAUGUAUGUCAGAUUUUUAUUUUUUUUUUCUAAAGAAAAAUCAGGGUUAUCUUUGAAAGGUAUUUUUCACAGCUAAGGCAAUAAAAUGGAAAUCUCCCAGAUCUUCAUAAAUAAAGGAGUUUAAUUGAAGCAUUUUACAUAUCUUAUAACCUUGAUUACAAAACAAAUAAACAAACUGAUUGUAUUUAUA